ACGGAAGGCAGCAGUGGGGAAUAUUGCACAAUGGGCGAAAGCCUGAUGCAGCGACGCCGCGUGAACGAAGAAGUAUUUCGGUAUGUAAAGUUCUAUCAGCAGGGAAGAUAAUGACGGUACCUGACUAAGAAGCACCGGCUAAAUACGUGCCAGCAGCCGCGGUAAUACGUAUGGUGCAAGCGUUAUCCGGAUUUACUGGGUGUAAAGGGAGCGCAGGCGGCGCGGCAAGUCUGAAGUGAAAUCCCGGGGCUCAACCCCGGAACUGCUUUGGAAACUGUCGUGCUAGAGUGUCGGAGGGGUAAGCGGAAUUCCUAGUGUAGCGGUGAAAUGCGUAGAUAUUAGGAGGAACACCAGUGGCGAAGGCGGCUUACCGGACGAUAACUGACGCUGAGGCUCGAAAGCGUGGGGAGCAAACAGGAUUAGAUACCCUGGUA
rnacentral:rRNA from 1 species